rnacentral:rRNA from 1 species
GUCCAAGCUGUGUUCACACGGCGAGACCGCGGACGGCUCAUUAAAUCAGUCGUGGUCCAAAUGGGCCAGUGCAAAUCCUACUUGGAUAACUGUGGUAAUUCCAGAGCUAAUACAUGCAACUGAUAUCCCGAAGGCGGUGUCGGGGCUUGCUUGUCUUGCCCUGCCUGCUCUGACGGAUGCUUUUAUUAGACCAAGCCGCUGAGGACUUGAGGGUUCGCGCUCUCUUGUUUGACUCGUGUGAUGGUGACUCUGGAUAACCAAAUUCUGACAAGCGCACGUACUUCUCUUCUGAGCGAGACGGCGCUGCCACUUUCGAGUGUCUGCCUUAUCAGCUAUCAACCGUUCGUUAUGCGCGACCGAUGGCUUUGACGGGUAACGGGGAAUCAGGGUUCGAUUCCGGAGAGGCAGCCUGAGAGACGGCUACCACGUCCAAGGACGGCAGCAGGCACGCAAAUUACCCAAUCCCAGCAAAUGGGGGAGGUAGUGACGAAAUCUAACGAUGCGGGCGCCCUUUCUGGGGCCCCGCAAUCGGAAUGGGCACUUUCUAAACAACCUG